CGACCACAACGGGUGGAGCCUGCGGUUUAAUUGGACUCAACGCCGGGCAGCUCACCGGAUAAGACAGCUGGAUGAUAGCCGGGCUGAAGACUCUGCUUGACUAGCUGAGAGGAGGUGCAUGGCCGUCGUCAGUUCGUACUGUGAAGCAUCCUGUUAAGUCAGGCAACGAGCGAGACCCACGCCAACAGUUGCCAGCAUGUCCUCCGGGAUGAUGGGGACACUGUUGGGACCGCCUCUGCUAAAGAGGAGGAAGGAAUGGGCAACGGUAGGUCAGCAUGCCCCGAAUUAUCCGGGCUACACGCGGGCUACAAUGGUCAGGACAAUGGGUAUCGACACCGAGAGGUGGAGGCAAUCUCCUAAACCUGUCCUUAGUUCGGAUUGUGGGCUGCAACUCGCCCACAUGAAGCUGGAAUCCGUAGUAAUCGCGUUUCAAAAUAGCGCGGUGAAUAUGUCCCUGCUCCUU
rnacentral:rRNA from 1 species